CCGAAGCGGAGCGCAUGGUCUCGUACCGGCGCCAGAUCUUUCAAGUGUCUGACUUAUCAGCUUGUUGUUAGGUUAUGUUCCUAACAAGGCUUCAACGGGUAACGGGGUAUCAGGGUCCGAUACCGGAGAGGGAGCCUGAGAAACGGCUACCACAUCCAAGGAAGGCAGCAGGCGCGCAAAUUACCCACUCCUAGCACAGGGAGGUAGUGACGAAAAAUAACGAUGCGAGGGCUUAUAGCUUCUCGUAAUCGGAAUGGGUACACUUUAAAUCCUUUAACGAGGAUCUAUUGGAGGGCAAGUCUGGUGCCAGCAGCCGCGGUAAUUCCAGCUCCAAUAGCGUAUAUUAAAGUUGCUGCGGUUAAAAAGCUCGUAGUUGGAUCUGGGCUUCUGAAUGGAUGGUGCGCUUUACGGUGCUACUGUCCGUUUGGUGCCACAAGCCGGCCAUGUAGUGCAUGCUCUUCAUUGAGUGUGCAUUGCGACCGGAACGUUUACUUUGAAAAAAUUAGAGUGCUCAAAGCAGGCGUACGGCCUUGCAUAAUGGUGCAUGGAAUAAUGGAAUAGGACCUCGGUUCUAUUUUGUUGGUUUUCGGAACUCGAGGUAAUGAUUAAUAGGAACAGACGGGGGCAUUCGUAUUGCGGCGU
rnacentral:rRNA from 1 species